GGGCGUAUAGUGUAGAGGUUACAGGCUACGAUUGCUUUGCAUGAGUAGUAGUUGCAAGGUUUGCGUGGUCCCCAGUUCAAACCUGGGUCUGUCCA